GUUAUCUAGAACUCCACCAGGGAGUUCACUCUGGAGAGAAACGUUGUCAGGUUAUCUAAAACUCCACCAGGGAGUCCACUCUGGAGAGAAACCGUUCUGCUGCAACUGCUUUAGAAAUUGACAGAACUUGUUAGAAUAUGGUAGAAAGUCAGUUGAUUUCAUAGAGCAGCAGUCAGUCGU